GAGUCAGUCACCGUUUGGCCGGGCAGGCGGUUCCCGGGCGCGGAGGAUGGAAACCUGGCGGUAACCUCUGGAGGUCGUGCCACUUGGUGUGCGCAAGGCUUCAGAGGCAUCUUUUCAUUUUUAGGGGGCACUUUCCACGAAUUCAUUUGAGCUACACAGCAGUCCUGGGCAGUGGGGAGUGGUGAGCUCCAUUGUGUACACUUGUAAGCAGCCCAGAAAGCUUCUAGCACAGUGCUUUGUGCACAGUAAACACUCCAGCGGCUGUUGACCAAUGAAUGAAUGAAGAUUGUAGGCUCAAAUAUUCAAGUUAUCAAAGUGCAAAGAAUGAGAGGUUGUUUGCACUGGACUUCAAAAAUAAAUAGCCUGGACCUGUAACUGUCUUACACAACAGCUAUGAGCUACUGGUAUGUGGCUAGUCCAAACUGAAAUGGCCUUUAAGA
rnacentral:antisense_RNA from 1 species